rfam:Nelumbo nucifera unplaced genomic scaffold scaffold00009, whole genome shotgun sequence
GUGGGGAUAGCUCAGUUGGGAGAGCGUCAGAUUGGAGAUAUGAAGGUUGCGUGUUUGAUCCACUCUCACCGCA